GUGAAAUGAUGAUUAUGUUUAUCCAUUCGCUGAGUACGCUGCACUGACCUUCUUCCCAGUCUCAGUUCCUGUUCUGGGAACUUGGGGCUGAGUAGGCUCCAAAUGCCCUGCUGUCUGCAGUGUUCUACUGUGGACUGCUUGUGUGUUGGUAGACUACUACUGUAAGAAUGGCUAGUGUCAGCAGGGAUGGGUCUCUCUGAUUCCAUCUCACCAAGAUGAGUGGUGCAAAUCUGAUCAC